UACGAGUGGUGCAAGCGUUAUUCGGAAUUAUUGGGCGUAAAGGGCGCGUAGGUGGUGUAUUAAGUCAACUGUUAAAUUCUCUGGCCUAACUGGAGGUCUGCGGUAGAUACUGGUACACUAGAGGAUGAGAGAGAGAAGUGGAAUUCUCGGAGUAGCGGUAAAAUGCGUAGAUAUCGAGAGGAACACCAAUGGCGAAGGCAGCUUCUUGGCUCAUUCCUGACACUGAGGCGCGAAAGCGUGGGGAGCAAACAGG
rnacentral:rRNA from 1 species